UGAUGAUGGUCCUGGACGGUGGAUCACUCGGCUCGU
rnacentral:rRNA from 4 species